UCUUUCGCUCUGCGCAGCUGUCUAUGCUUGCAUUUAAUCACCUCUUAUUCCUGGAGGCAUCCCAGCUUCAGGCAAGGGGGAAGAGAAGUUUCCGCCAUCCAGCUUUAAGAAGCUCUUUGCUGACUCCUCUGGUCAUGGCCUACUUCACAGGUUUAGAGCAGAAAGUUGACAUGAUUAUUUAAUUUUUUUAAAAAGGAAGUAGGUUAUUUUCUUCCAGUACAAUAAACCUAUGGAGGAUACUUUCCAAGACACACACCAUGGAGGCCUGGAACUGCGGAUCCAACCGGAGUAUCCCUUAUCAGAAAUGCUUGGGACCAGCAGUGUUUUGGGUUUUUUUUUAAUUUUUGAUUUUUCAUAUUUUGGAAUGUCUAUAUUUACAUCUAUGUACAUCAUGGGAUAUCCUGGAGAUGAGACCUGGACACAUGGCCUGGAGUCUUCCUGAGGAUUCCCAAGUCCUGCUUACCUGGAUCAGUCUCCUGAGCGGCCAAGCCAUUGCAGGACCCAACAUGGAAGUAGUCAGUGUGCUCCAUCUGCUGGUCAGAUCUGCUCCAAGCCUUACAAAGUGGAGGACUGAAGAUGGGCCAACCACCUCUUACUGACUUCCUAGUUCAAGCUUUUGACAAAAUCAAAACUAGUAAUCGUGUGGCUAAGCAACAUCAGAGAGCAGUCAAGAUAUCAGAAGUUAUUGAAGAAAAAGAAUAAACAAGCUAGGAGAAGAUACAGCAGUUUCCUUUUGCCUGAGCUUACUAGGAAAGCAAUUGUUUUCUCUUCUUGCUCAUUCGGCCAGAUUUCCCUUCCCCUCUUUUUUCUACCGAAAAGAAGAACCCAUUCAGGAAGAAGAUGCGAAACAGCCGAUGGGAAAUUAUCAUAGCUGUGGGCAAGGAACUGAACUUUCGCAAUUAUGGAUCGAGGAUGCCUCCCACAGAACGCAAGGGGCACAUACAGAAUUAUGAGAAUGAAAGGGAAAAGCACUCAUGGUGGCUUAUAUAAAAUGAGUAUACUAUAAAAUAAGAUUGUGUACCAUGACAAAAUAAUGAACCCAAACCAACAAGCAAGACCAGCAGCAGUUAAAACUAACAUCUGUUUGAAACCAAAGCAGACCAUCACCAUGCCAUCAAAAAAGGACACUUGAGCAAAACUGAAAUUCAAUUGUCAUAAACUGCUGUAAUUUGCUUGGCCUUAAAAAAGAGAGAGAUGCGCUACUGAACAAAGCAAUGUGACAUGAAGGUUAACUGCUUUCCACUGUACUCUAAUAUCUCAAUCAAGGCUUAUAGAAUCUGGUAGAUUCUCUGUGGAUUAAAAGACAAUCCAUAAAGGAUAAGAAAUGCCUUUAUUAAUUUGCAGCACAUGGUGCAUCUACAAUGUAGAAUUAGUGCAGUUUGACACCGUUUUAACUGUGAUGGCUAGAUGCUGUGGAAUCCUGCGAUUCAUCAUUUGGUGAGACUUCAGCCAAGAAGGCCAAAGAGUUCUAAACUACUGUUCCCAUUAUUCCAUACCUUUGAACCAUGACAGUAAGUGUUGUCAAGAUGUGUUAAUUCUACAAUUUAGAUGCAGUCCUUUAUGUUGGCUCUGGGAGUUGUGCUUGCUAGGAAUCCUAGCCUGUAUAUAAAUGUCUGCAAGAGGCAGCUCGCCACACCAUGCUCCUUGGGAAAGACCCUUCCGUGGAAAGUGCCUGCUACACAAGGUCCAGCUUCAUGAUGUAUUCUUUCAGCAGCUGCAAAUAAUGACAUUAGCUUGCUGAUCAGGUAUCACGGACUCUCACACUUUCCCGUUGGCCCAGUGAGAGCGGCUGCAGUUUAACAAGAAAGCUGCAGCAAGCAAUCGGGGAGCCCUCUCUCCGUGCCUCGCAUGAAGGUGAAACAGAGGACUUCAUUAAUUUGCGUGUAAUAUGAACUCGGCAGCCCAGGGGAGCUGCUGCAGUCGCUGAACCACAGACCACAGCUACAAUUUCUGGGCCAUUUCCCUGGCACCUCUCCUGUCUGCUUUCAUCCGGGUGCAUUUGCCAAGAGUGUCAGGCAAACAGUUUACUUUCCUAAGCAGUUGGUCUUGCCAUAACCACAGAAGAAAGAAGCAUUCUGUGCUUAUCCCUUGGGUCUUGUCUGCAUUAGAGGGUUAGCUCAGAUCAGAGAUAGUAUAGAAGUCCCUUGAAAUGUACAUAUAGAGACCAGAAUUCACUUGUAGUUAGGUAGCAAUACCAUGACUCUCAAAUUGACAUCACCAGUCUCUAUUUACAGAUGAUGGAGGCUUCUUCUUUGAAGGCUUUUAAACAAAGCCUGUAUGGUCAUCUGUCAGGGGUUCUUAGAUUGUGCUUUUCCUGCAUGGCAUAAAUGGGAUUGGACUGGAUGGUCCUUGUAGUCUCUUCCAACUCUAUGAUUCUAUGAUUCUAACCUGCUAUAAGCUACCCUUCUGUCCCAUCACCAAGGCAAAAGAGAGAUCUCUCUGGUAGUCAAGUCAGCUUUAGAACACGAAAGGAGAAAGGAACCAUCUUGUUAUUUUAGGGUUGCCAGGGUGAAAAAAGGAGAAGACUUCAGUUGAGGUUGCUUGUUAGAUGAUCAUUUGACCAGGAGCACCUACCAAAAUUUCUUCUACCCAACUGUUAAUGAUACAGGAGACUUCUGAAACCCUAUAUACUUUGUUUUAGGGAACAAAAAGUCUUGGCUCAGGCUCCUUCUACACUGCUGUAUAAAAUACACAUUAUCCGCUUUGAACUGGAUUAUAUGGCAGCGUGGACUCAGAUAACCCAGUUCAACACAGAUAUUGUUGAUUAUCUGCCUUGAUAUUCUGGGUUAUAUGGCUGUGUGGAAGGGCCCUCAAUUGUAUAGAAGAGGAAACACCAACAGAUGUUAAUUCUCGCUCAACCAGGUAACAAGCAUCACUUGCUAAAAUUCCCCUUUUCCACAACCGUUAAAGAUACAUGAACCCUACCCAAUUUUACUCUGACAAUCUUAGUCUUAGGCCAGACUUUCAUCACAGGUUUCUUCCUGCUUUGUCCUCAAAUCAAACCUGCAGAGAGAGAAUGACUAGCCAUCAAGUGAUCACCUAGUGAAUUUGAUGGACCAGUAAAUGCUAGGAUUUGAAUCUUCCAAACCCCAAAUGUUCUAUUUGCUAUAUCGCACUGACGUUCUACUCUUGAGGCCCAUUCACACACAAUCCUGGGGCUCAGUAGGGGACAGGCUUUCAUACCUUACCCAUGUAAUGCUUGUUACACCACAAUGAAGUUGUAUUACAGUCAACUCCCCAAAUUCAAAUUAGCACCAUUUUUAUUUCCUCUCUUUCCCCAGGUGAUUUCCCUGCUGAUGUCUUCCUAGUCAAAUAGGGACAGAAGUGGGAGCACUCAUUAACUCAGGUUGGGGACAAUACAAAUUGUAAGGUUUUUGUUGCAAAGCGGUUUCAAAACUGUGGCAUAGGCUUGGGGGGAACUCCCAAUUGUUUGGGUCCCUUCUAGUCUGUUUGAUUUGUGAAGUUGGUUUUAUGUGUCAUUGAAGGUCAAGAAUGCCUGAACUUUCAUGUGAAAAGGAAACGUAUUUGUGGCAAAGUAGACUUUGAUGAUGUGCAUGAAUCUGAUCUACAUGUGCAGUUUCCAUGACAUUAGCUAUCUGUCUAUCUGUAAAUGUAAAGCAUCAAACAGCACUGCAGACAAGUUGUUCUUUGAUCCUAGAGAGAUAUGAUUUAUCACUUAAAUCAUUCCAUAAUCAUAGCUGAAAUAUUGAAGUCUCUUAUGCAUUAUCUCACUCAUCAGCAGUAAAUGUGACACUUGAGGUUAUUCUGUCUUCUUUUUCUUUCACUGCCAUUUGGGGCUCUUCCAGGUGAUGCUGGAAAAGAGUUCUGAGGAUACAGUGGGGCUUGUCCACGCAAGCCAAAACCCCCGGGCUCACCACAAAUGGAAGUGUGCCUGUCUUCAUGAUGCAUAGCUACUUCCAAUGAGUAUCCCAGGGAGUUCUUUAGCUUUCAAACAGCCAUGCCCUGCUUUAGGCAAAGUCAUGAAAACUGUCCUGAACUCGUGAGAUACUCUGGAGUUUCCCCUCACUUUGCCUAAAACAAGGCAAGGCUGUUUUAAAGCUAAAGAGCCCCCUGGGAUACUUAUUGGAAGUAGCUAUGCAUCAUGAAGACACUAGUGCCAUCAUGGAUCAAUAGGUAGAUCGUGGCCAUGUUGCCACUUCUGCCAUUUUAGCAAAUCAUACACUAUUAGCCUUGGAAGAUCCCUACAAUAGGUUUGGCUUCAUAUUUCUGUAGGUUGAAAAUAACUUGAAGACAUGCAAGAAGUCUGAGUACAUCACAAUUCACUAUGCCAUCACUAUUCAUUUUUAAAGCCAUUAUGUUAAAAUAAUGCUCUGUACUGCAGCUGAAGAAGUGGGUUUUAUCCACAAAAUCUCAUGCUGAAAUAAAAUCCACCUUGUUCUUAGGUGCUAUUACA